rnacentral:rRNA from 1 species
GUAUCGGCAUACGACUGAGGGUGAAGUUGGGGCCGGAGGCCUCAUGCUAUUGGGCGGCCGAGUCUGAUAGCUACUGUGGGUAAGUCCACUAUGCGACGAUCAGUAGCUGUCUGAGAGUCGAUCAGCACACUGGACUGAGUCACGUCCAGACCCUACUGAGGCAGCAGUGGGGAUUUGGACAUUGGCGGAAGCCUGAUCCAGCAUUGCGCUUGUUUGAAGAAGGGCUUCCGGCUAGUCAAGCACUUUUGUCCGGAAGAAUGGCUCUAGUUAAUACUGGGUCGAUGACGGUACCGGAAGAAUAAGGACCGGCUAACUACGUGCAGCAGCGCGGUAUACGUAGGGUCAAGCGUUAAUCGGAAUUACUUGGCGUAAAGCGUGCGCAGGCGGUUGUGCAAGACCGAUGUGAAAUCCCCGAGCUUAACUUGGGAAUUGCAUUGGUGACUGCACGGCUAGAGUGUGUCAGAGGGGGGUAGAAUUCCACGUGUAGCAGUGAAAUGCGUAGAGAUGUGGAGGAAUACCGAUGGCGAAGGCAGCCCCUGGGAUAACACUGACGCUCAUGCACGAAAGCGUGGGGAGCAAACAGGAUUAGAUACCCUGGUAGCCCACGCCCUAAACGAUGUCAACUAGUUGUUGGGGAUUCAUUUCCUUAGUAACGUAGCUAACGCGUGAAGUUGACCGCCUGGGGAGUACGGUCGCAAGAUUAAAACUCAAAGGAAUUGACGGGGACCCGCACAAGCGGUGGAUGAUGUGGAUUAAUUCGAUGCAACGCGAAAAACCUUACCUACCCUUGACAUGCCACUAACGAAGCAGAGAUGCAUUAGGUGCUCGAAAGAGAAAGUGGACACAGGUGCUGCAUGGCUGUCGUCAGCUCGUGUCGUGAGAUGCUGGGUUAAGUCCCGCAACGAGCGCAACCCUUGUCUCUAGUUGCUACGAAAGGGCACUCUAGAGAGACUGCCGGUGACAAACCGGAGGAAGGUGGGGAUGACGUCAAGUCCUCAUGGCCCUUAUGGGUAGGGCUUCACACGUCAUACAAUGGUGCAUACAGAGGGUUGCCAAGCCGCGAGGUGGAGCUAAUCCCAGAAAAUGCAUCGUAGUCCGGAUCGUAGUCUGCAACUCGACUACGUGAAGCUGGAAUCGCUAGUAAUCGCGGAUCAGAUGCCGCGGUAACCCUU